AAGACUAUACUUUCAGGGAUCAUUUCUAUAGUUUGUUACUAUUUAUUUGCUUCUAGACAGAGGCGGAGCAAGACAGAAAGAAAGGGACCACAGCACCAAAGCUUCCUUUAGUGUAGUGGGGGCCGGGCUUG
rnacentral:snoRNA from 1 species